rnacentral:tRNA from 1 species
UAGCUCAGUGGGAGAGCAUUUGCCUAAUAAGCAGGAGGCCCUAGGUUCAAUCCCCAG